CUACGGGCGGCACCAGUGGGGAAUAUUGGACAAUGGGGGAAACCCUGAUCCAGCAAUGCCGCGUGUGUGAAGAAGGCCUGCGGGUUGUAAAGCACUUUCGGUUGGGAGGACUGCUUCUAGCACUAAUAUUGUUGGAAGUUGACGUUACCUUCAGAAGAAGCACCGGCUAACUCCGUGCCAGCAGCCGCGUUAAUACGGAGGGUGCAAGCGUUAAUCGGAAUUACUGGGCGUAAAGCGCGCGUAGGCGGCUAGAUCAGUCGGGUGUGAAAGCCCCGGGCUUAACCUGGGAACUGCAUCCGAUACUGUCUAGCUUGAGUACAGGAGAGGAGAGUGGAGUUCCACAUGUAGCGGUGAAAUGCGUAGAUAUGUGGAGGAACACCAAUGGCGAAGGCAGCUCUCUGGCCUGAUACUGACGCUGAGGUGCGAAAGCGUGGGGAGCAAACAGGAUUAGAUACCCGCGUAGUC
rnacentral:rRNA from 1 species